rnacentral:rRNA from 1 species
UACGUAGGCAGCAAGCGUUGUUCGGAGUUACUGGGCGUAAAGGGUGUGUAGGCGGUUGGAUAAGCGUGGUGUGAAAUCUCCCGGCUUAACUGGGAGGGUGCGCUACAAACUGUCUGACUAGAGUGUGGGAUGGGUAAGUGGAAUUCCUGGUGUAGCGGUGAAAUGCGCAGAUAUCAGGAGGAACACCAAUUGCGAAGGCAGCUCGCUGGGACGUUACUGACGCUGAGACGCGAAAGCGUGGGGAGCAAACAGG